GAAGCAACUUGGAAGAUUUGAACGAGUUCAGCGACGGAGCGCGCUGCAACCAGUCAUUGCUCCAACGUGCGAAGCUACCGUCUCCUUGAGUUCAGAGCACGACACAGCGGCAUUGGAAGAACGCAACGAAUGUGCGUCAGACUUGGAAGCCUCCGUCUCCUUCAGUCCUGACUCGGCACAGGGCACACCCACGUCGGAAGAAUGCAACAUGUUUGCGUCCGUGAUGACUCAGACAGAGAACGAUUCAUUCAAGGGGCCUUGCAGCUUGUUCCUUUCUGUGGCAUCGCAGUGCAAUGCAUCGACACAAGUGUCUCAUAUCGAAACUAGAGACAGCAGCCUGCAAGCAGAACCUUCAGUUAGAUCAACCGCCACAGGGCCAGAAGAGCGAAGCUACAUUUUCCUUGGCUACAGCUCUCUCUGCGAAAGGAAAGACGCCUUCACAGAACUUUGUGGAGUCAGCCCAAAUGUGUUUGCCAUGUCUCUAUUUUCAUCGGUAGUUGUAACAUGUGUUGAUGUUCCAAUUUCGCAAAAGAUGGUGAUCUUAAUGACUUGGGUUUUCGUUUGCAAGUAUCGCUGUUCUUUUUGGGCUGCAUCGUAGAGCUGUUAGCUGCAUCUUUUUCGUUUUGAGGAAUCUUCUAUCAGCAAUGCAACACUUCAUUCCCGAGCCAUCGCUAGCAGCCGUCAAGGCAACUAUGCUAGCACGCUUUAAGGAGCACUACCCUGAUUGUCGUUUUAUCAUUGAUUGCACCGAAGUGAGAACGGAGGAGCCACCUACUGUAGAACAGCGUCGCGCUCUUUUUUUUUACACUACAAGGGAUGCUACACACUGAAGUUCUUAAUUGGAAUUUUGCCCAAUGGUGCAGUGACAUUUGUGUCGGAGGCUUAUGGAGGUCGAGCUUCGGACACACACAUAACUCUAGAGUCAGGCUUUCUCAAUAGAAUUGAGCCAGGGAAUGAUGUAUUAGCUGACAGAGGUUUUCCUGGCAUAAAAUCACCAGUGGAAAGGAACAAGGGCAUUGUUGUCUUGCCUCCUUUCUCGAAAGGAAACAUGCAAUUUACAUAUGAUGAGCUCCAACAAAAAUACCACAUUACACAGGUGUGCAUCCAUGUUGAAAGAGCUAUCCAGGGUAUAAAAAUGUUUGAUGUUAUUAAUUUCCGUGUACUUAAUGACCUCAUUCCUUAUAUGUGCGACAUCAUGCCCAUGUGUUGCAUCCUUGUGAAUCUGCAACUGCCAAUUCUUAACUCACAAAAGCGUGAACAAUCAUAGACGUGCAGUAGGGUAUUGUGCUGCCCAUUCUGAAUUAAGAAAUGAACCUUUUCACACCUUCAGCUUUUAUGAGGUGUUUAUGUACAUGCUACGAUAAAUGAAGAAUUUCAUGAAAGUUUACUGCUUCAUAUUGAAACUCUGUGGCGUGCAAAGGUUCACCUUCAUCUGUUGUAUUAUGUGCAUUUGCAGGUAAUUCAGGAGAGCAUUAGUUGUUUUACCAAUAUUUAUUGCGCAUACAACCAUCACAUAAGAUCUCAGGUGUGUAUUGCAAAUGGUACUUAAUUGUGAGAGCUAGGCUCAUCAUUGUUUUUAUGUACAGAUUUUUAUGGGAACUUUGUUGAAUUUGAGCAUUUUUACUUUGGCAUUAACAAUGGAACAUGCUGUAGCCUUUGGCAGAAAUGCACAUGUGUACUUAAAUUGCAUGCACAUUAGAAAACCCAGGCAGUCAAAAACUUGGA